CUCUGGAAUUUCCAGAGCAAAUAUUCCACUCUGGGGAGCAGAUUGAAGUACAAACCUGGAGCAAAGUGAACCUUGGCAAACUAUGAAAAUUAACAGCAGGCAAGAUUAGUAAAUUGAAGGUGCAUGAAAAGCCAGACCUUCAGUUCAUGACAAGUCUAGCACCAGUUCAUUCACAAAUCAUUCAAGUACACUUCAGGAGAAAAAAAUAUAAUAAAAGGAAGAAGGUUUAUGAAGCUCAUGAUAACAGUAUGUAUGAGCCUGUUUUUAGGGCAGUUACUGUCGAAAAAUACUUAUUCAUUUAGUCAUAAUGAACAAUAUAAGCCAUUGUGAGAAAGUAUCACAUCUGGAAGAAAAACAUGAAGCUGGCUUAAAAAGAAAUGAGUAGUAUACAUCAAAUAUUCAUUGUGACUAAUUAGUAUUCAUUUCUAGUUUCUCCUAAGUAACAAAGCAACAUGGCAAAUGAAAAAAAAAAUACAGGAAUAGCAAUACUUAAAAUAUAGAUGUCACUUAGCUCACCAAACUCAUUUUUUUUUUUUUUUCUCAGGCUAUAAACAGCAUGCCAAGAAAAAUAGUUCCUGUGUGUGGUCAUUUCUAUGCAUUAAUAUAUUUUGUAAUUUUCUGAGGAGCCAUUUCAACACAAUGCAACAUAUGCUAGAGGCAACAGUAGGCUAUUUAUGAUUUUUUCCAAUUGAAUAGCUUUACUAUAUGAUUCCAAUAACUGUCAGGUCUAUCUAAUAGCAGAAGAACUUUUCCAUUUAUUAAAUUCUGUGUAUUUCAUUAAUCUAGUACAUGCUCUAGACUACCUUCAGUGUUACAGUUUGUUUUUCCCCCAAGAUAUCUAGUAGGGAACAGCAUAUCAAACUUGUUCCAUUAUUCACCCUAAGUCUGUAAUCAACUGAAUCUGUUAUUUCCUUUGCAAAGGCAUUUCAAAUUGUUGGCAUUUCAUCUAAACCAGGCUACUAAGAUUAUUUUUAUAAAGGUCUGCUGAGAAAUUUCACUAAUAUUUGUUCAGCAGGCUAAAGUCUAGUACCUCCUGUCUCAUGUCAUCCUGCAUCAACACAGUUUUGGAUUCUUCACGGCCUCUUUAUUCCACAAUACAGUACCAUAUUUCUGAGGAAUCAAGAGAACACCAAAAAUGAGAACGUCAUUCUAAGAAAUCACUGGUAAAAUGUUCUAGUGGUCUGCACACAAAUUGAAAACCGCUGUAUGAAGAACUUUAUUCUACCUGUUCUGGCAUCCCAGGAUUAUCCGAAGUUUUCAGUAUGGCAAAUUGCUUCAAUUAGUCAUGAUUUUUGAUCAUCA
rnacentral:lncRNA from 1 species